GACGAACGCUGGCGGCGUGCCUAACACAUGCAAGUCGAGCGGAGAUAAGCGGAAGGUAACUGAAGCUUAUCUUAGCGGCGGACGGGUGAGUAACACGUGGGCAACCUGCCUUGGAGUGGGGGAUAACACCGGGAAAUCGGUGCUAAUACCGCAUAACAUACACAAACUGCAUGGUAAGUGUAUCAAAGGAGUAAUCCGCUUUAAGAUGGGCCCGCGGCUGAUUAGCUAGUUGGUAAGGUAACGGCUUACCAAGGCGACGAUCAGUAGCCGACCUGAGAGGGUGACCGGCCACACUGGAACUGAGACACGGUCCAGACUCCUACGGGAGGCAGCAGUGGGGAAUAGUUGCGCAAUGGGGGGAACCCUGACGCAGCAACGCCGCGUGGAGGAAGAAGGUCUUCGGAUUGUAAACUCCUGUCUUCUGGGACGAAGUAUGACGGUACCAGAGGAGGAAGCCACGGCUAACUACGUG
rnacentral:rRNA from 1 species